rnacentral:rRNA from 1 species
GUCUAUGGCCAUACCAUACUAAACACACCCAGUCUCCUCUGAUCUUAGAAGCUAAGUGGGGUCAGUCCUGAUUAGUACUUGGGAGAUUAAUUUUUUUUUAACUCUUGAGCAGCUACAUUCA